rnacentral:rRNA from 1 species
UACGUAGGGUGCGAGCGUUGUCCGGAAUUAUUGGGCGUAAAGAGCUCGUAGGCGGCUUGUCGCGUCGGAUGUGAAAGCCCGGGGCUUAACUCCGGGUCUGCAUUCGAUACGGGCAGGCUAGAGUUCGGUAGGGGAGAUCGGAAUUCCUGGUGUAGCGGUGAAAUGCGCAGAUAUCGGGAGGAACACCGGUGGCGAAGGCGGUUCUCUGGGCCUGUUCUGACGCUGAGGAGCGAAAGCGUGGGGAGCGAACAGG